rnacentral:rRNA from 1 species
GACGUGGGGCGCGAGCGUUGUCCGGAUUUAUUGGGCGUAAAGAGCUCGUAGGCGGCUUGUCGCGUCAACUGUGAAAACCCGUGGCUCAACCAUGUGGUCUGCAGUCGAUACGGGCAGGCUAGAAUUCGGUAGGGGAGACUGGAAUUCCUGGUGUAGCGGUGAAAUGCGCAGAUAUCAGGAGGAACACCGGUGGCGAAGGCGGGUCUCUGGGCCGAUAUUGACGCUGAGGAGCGAAAGCGUGGGGAGCGAACAGG